rnacentral:rRNA from 1 species
AUUGAACGCUGGCGGCAUGCCUUACACAUGCAAGUCGAACGGCAGCGGGGACUUCGGUCCGCCGGCGAGUGGCGAACGGGUGAGUAAUGUAUCGGAACGUACCAUUCAGUGGGGGAUAACUAUCCGAAAGGAUAGCUAAUACCGCAUAUUCCGUGAGAAGGAAAGCAGGGGAUCGCAAGACCUUGCGCUGAUUGAGCGGCCGAUAUCAGAUUAGCUAGUUGGUGAGGUAACGGCUCACCAAGGCUACGAUCUGUAGCGGGUCUGAGAGGACGAUCCGCCACACUGGGACUGAGACACGGCCCAGACUCCUACGGGAGGCAGCAGUGGGGAAUUUUGGACAAUGGGCGCAAGCCUGAUCCAGCCAUGCCGCGUGAGUGAAGAAGGCCUUCGGGUUGUAAAGCUCUUUCGGCCGGGAAGAAAUCGCAUCAGCUAAUACCUGGUGUGGUUGACGGUACCGGAAUAAGAAGCACCGGCUAACUACGUGCCAGCCGCCGCCGUAACAC